CCUUCCCCUUCACAUCUUGCGAAUAGCCUCGCUGACCUCCUCUACUUUAAAACUCCAACAAUAGCUGAAAUUAUGACACUCUCUGGUAUGUUCCAACUCCCCUAAAACAACACCUCUGUCCCCCCCAUCAUUCAAGAGCUUAUGAAAAUAUGACUACCAUUUUUUCUUAAUGAGGGCGUCCUCCACCAAUACUCUGCCAUCUUCCUCCUUAAUGUACUUUACUUGAUCCAGAUCCCGACCCUUGCGCUCCCUAUACUUGGCAAGCCUAAAGAACCUCUUUUCCCCGCCUUUCUCCUCUAAUCCAUAAUACAAACUCUCAAAAGCUGUUGUCUUAGCAGCUGUAACUGCUAACUUAGCCUCCUUCUUAGCUAACUUAUACUCCUCCAUACUAACCCAUUUCUCCUCUUUAUCCCUGCUCUCCACCA
rnacentral:lncRNA from 1 species